UGUAGCUCAAUGGUAGAGUAUUUGCCUAGAAUGUACAAGGCUCUGGGUUCAAUUCCUGGCA
rnacentral:tRNA from 1 species